AACCUACUCCCUCCGUCCCAAAAUUCUUGUAUUAAGUUUUUCUAGAAAUGGAUGUAUCUAAAUACUAAAACAUGANNNNNUACAUUCAUAUCUAAACAAAUCUAAUACAAAAUUUUUGGGACAGAGGGAGUAUUUA
rfam:Hordeum vulgare subsp. vulgare, WGS project CAJW01000000 data, contig: morex_contig_38524